rnacentral:rRNA from 1 species
UACGUAGGGGGCAAGCGUUGUCCGGAUUUAUUGGGCGUAAAGAGCGUGCAGGUGGCCAUGUAGGUCCGUUGUGAAAACUCGAGGCUCAACCUCGAGACGUCGAUGGAAACCAUGUGGCUAGAGUCCGGAAGAGGAGAGUGGAAUUCCUGGUGUAGCGGUGAAAUGCGCAGAUAUCAGGAAGAACACCCGUGGCGAAGGCGGCUCUCUAGUACGGUACUGACGCUGAGACGCGAAAGCGUGGGGAGCGAACAGG